rnacentral:rRNA from 1 species
AUUGAACGCUGGCGGCAUGCCUUACACAUGCAAGUCGAACGGCAGCACGGGAGCAAUCCUGGUGGCGAGUGGCGAACGGGUGAGUAAUAUAUCGGAACGUGCCCAGUAGUGGGGGAUAGCCCGGCGAAAGCCGGAUUAAUACCGCAUACGACCUGAGGGUGAAAGCGGGGGAUCGCAAGACCUCGCGCUAUUGGAGCGGCCGAUAUCAGAUUAGCUAGUUGGUGGGGUAAAGGCCUACCAAGGCUACGAUCUGUAGUUGGUCUGAGAGGACGACCAGCCACACUGGGACUGAGACACGGCCCAGACUCCUACGGGAGGCAGCAGUGGGGAAUUUUGGACAAUGGGCGCAAGCCUGAUCCAGCAAUGCCGCGUGCAGGAAGAAGGCCUUCGGGUUGUAAACUAGCUUUUGUUCAGGGAAGGAAAUACUUCUGGGCUAAUACCCCGGAGGAUGACGGUACUCGAAGAAUAAGACACCGGCUAACUACGUAGCCAGCAGCCG